CGGGAGUAACGCGUGGGUAACCGUGCCUCAUACAGGGGGAUAACAAGUUAGAAAUGACUGCUAAUACCGCAUAAGCGCACAGUGCUGCAUGGCACAGUGUGAAAAACUCCGGUGGUAUGAGAUGGACCCGCGUCUGAUUAGCUAGUUGGUGGGGUAACGGCCUACCAAGGCGACGAUCAGUAGCCGGCCUGAGAGGGUGACGGCCACAUUGGGACUGAGACACGGCCCAA
rnacentral:rRNA from 1 species